UACGGGGGGGGCAAGCGUUGUUCGGAAUUACUGGGCGUAAAGAGCUCGUAGGCGGUUUGUCGCGUCUGCUGUGAAAACCUAAGGCUCAACCUUGGGCUUGCAGUGGGUACGGGCAGACUAGAGUGCGGUAGGGGUGACUGGAAUUCCUGGUGUAGCGGUGGAAUGCGCAGAUAUCAGGAGGAACACCGAUGGCGAAGGCAGGUCACUGGGCCGCAACUGACGCUGAGGAGCGAAAGCAUGGGGAGCGAACAGG
rnacentral:rRNA from 1 species